GGAACCAAAACCUAAACCACAGGUAUUUUAAUAUAAAUGCAUUUUAAAAAUUAUUUUUCUAAAAAGAAUAUGAAUUUUAAUUUUUAUUAAAAUAAUUUAGCCCACUAAAGGAAAAGAGAAAGAAGCUAAAGAUGGUAAAGCUACAAGUGUUCCUUCAGGAGAAAGUACAGAUACAGAGAAGGAAGCUAAAGAAGAAUCAUCUCCCCCUCCAAGUAUAUAACUUUCUAUUAUUUCAAAAUUUUCAUUUAAAAUUAUGUAAUGUAAGUAAAUAUACUUAUAAACAGAGUUUUAUGAUUUGUCACAAUUCAGUUGAGCAGAAUGCACUAAAUUUGAUGGUACAGAUAUCUAAUAUACAGUAUAUGCUCAAUAUAUGAGGGAAUAAAUAAAUAAUAGAAUUUCCUAAUCCUAACCAGUGUGAGUUCUAAAAUUUAAAUCUGGAUGGAGACAACAUUUAUUUAAUGGCACAAAAAAUUAAAAAAAAAAUUUUUUUUUGUUGACAGAUGGC
rnacentral:lncRNA from 1 species